CACACACACACACACACACACACACACACAGGCCACUAUGAACUUUGAGUGGCUGCUUGACACUUUUCUGCCCGCGGUUGCAACCCCAGACAGCGGAGGCGUGGUGGCGCCCCCUACAGGAGGCGUGGUGAAGUGCACUACAGGAGCAGACAGAGGGAUCCAGCUUGCAGGUCCUGCAGCAGGGGCAGGUUUAGGGGCAGGGGCAGGUUUAGGGGGAGGGGCAGGUUUAGGGGCAGUGGAGGGGAUGAUCCGGCUCCUGGCCCUUCCCUCUGAGCCGACUCAGAGCCCCGUCUUCACUGCUCUCCCUGUCAACCUCAUCCUGCAGUCUGCCCCCCUCGUCCACCAGGUGGCGCCACCUCCCAAGGCAAAGGCCAAGAGGCGCAAGAAGCCAUCUCAGUCCAAGGAUCCCAACAGCUUCAAUGAGAAGUACCGCCGGCUCAUGGCCAAGAUGGAGCAGCCCCAGCUGGUGGCGCCCCCUGUGGCUCAGGAGGGGAAGGAUACCCAGCCCUGCGCUGGCUACAGUGGGGACGUUGGCCCGGUCAUGGGCUCCUCCUUCAGCGGACCCGGGGCUGGGGGUCAGAACACCCAGGAGCCGCUCAUCAGAGGUUGCCAUGACAACAGCACCCCAGCGCCCAUCACCCCGGAGGAGAUGUACGGAGACCCACAUCAGUGGGCAGCGGGC
ensembl:lncRNA